UACGAAGGGGCUAGCGUUGCUCGGAAUCACUGGGCGUAAAGGGUGCGUAGGCGGGUUUUAAGUCAGAGGUGAAAUCCUGGAGCUCAACUCCAGAACUGCCUUUGAUACUGAAAGUCUUGAGUAUGGGAGAGGUGAGUGGAACUGCGAGUGUAGAGGUGAAAUUCGUAGAUAUUCGCAAGAACACCAGUGGCGAAGGCGGCUCACUGGCCCAUAACUGACGCUGAGGCACGAAAGCGUGGGGAGCAAACAGG
rnacentral:rRNA from 1 species